AUUUUGAGUAAUGGGGUUUUGCCUUUAUGGGCUGGUGUUAUUAUAACCGCUUGUGAUUGUUUUAUCUUCCUAUUUCUUGAGAAUUAUGGCGUGAGGAAAUUGGAAGCAGUUUUUGCAGUUCUGAUUGCGAUAAUGGCACUCUCAUUUGCUUGGAUGUUUGCUGACACAAAACCCGAUGGCAAGGAGCUUCUUUUGGGUAUCCUAGUUCCAAAACUUAGCUCUAAAACAAUACAACAGGCUGUUGGAGUUGUGGGUUGCAUCAUCAUGCCUCACAAUAUAUUUUUGCAUUCUGCUCUUGUCCAGUCAAGGGAUGUUGACACCACUAAGAAAGGCCGGGUUAAAGAAGCUCUCAG
rnacentral:misc_RNA from 1 species